CACCUGACCCCAUGCCGAACUCAGAAGU
rnacentral:rRNA from 2 species